AAUAGAUACCCGGGUAGUCCACGCCGUAAACGAUGAGUGCUAAGUGUUAGGGGGUUUCCGCCCCUUAGUGCUGCAGCUAACGCAUUAAGCACUCCGCCUGGGGAGUACGGUCGCAAGACUGAAACUCAAAGGAAUUGACGGGGGCCCGCACAAGCGGUGGAGCAUGUGGUUUAAUUCGAAGCAACGCGAAGAACCUUACCAGGUCUUGACAUCCCGCUGACCGGUCUAGAGAUAGACUUUUCCCUUCGGGGACAGCGGUGACAGGUGGUGCAUGGUUGUCGUCAGCUCGUGUCGUGAGAUGUUGGGUUAAGUCCCGCAACGAGCGCAACCCUUGAUCUUAGUUGCCAGCAUUCAGUUGGGCACUCUAAGGUGACUGCCGGUGAUAAACCGGAGGAAGGUGGGGAUGACGUCAAAUCAUCAUGCCCCUUAUGACCUGGGCUACACACGUGCUACAAUGGACGGUACAGAGGGUCGCAACCCCGCGAGGGUGAGCUAAUCCCAUAAAACCGUUCUCAGUUCGGAUUGUAGGCUGCAACUCGCCUAC
rnacentral:rRNA from 1 species